AAAGAGAAAGAAAAACAUGCAAAAAUAGUGAAUUUCAGCUUCUAUCAACGUGUCAGAAAAAGCACUGAAAAACAGAACAGAAAAGCACUCCUGAUUCUCCACUUAACCGCUAAGAGAGUGAGCCUGUUUGUUUGGGAAACAAAGGGUAAAUGGUUUAAAAUCCACGGUCUCCGAGAAAGGGUAAUUUGUGAGGACAGUUAAGAAGGCAGGGGAUUCAGGUAUUCUGCAGGGUUCUUAAUACACUCCUCGCAAGACGUACUUCUCUACGCUGGACCAAGGUGAGCAGAAACACAGCUCAUUGUCCGUCCCUGCCACACUCCCAGAGCCAUUCCUGACUUUCUGUUUGGGUUCUUAUGAACACAGAAACAAAGAGACAUUCCUUAACUUGCUUCCAUAGCCCCUGCAAAGAGAAAAGUCUUUUUGCCAAAAAUCUCCUGCAGGUAACUGAGAGGGCUUCGCCCUCCCUCCCCCUUUACGCCCCCACGCACCUCUGCACAUGCCACACCAGCCCACCUACAAGGGCCCCCGGUAAGUCACCUGACGCACUUUUACUUCCACCCAUGAUUUCUGAAUGGCAGACUGCUAUCUCCCACAGAAGGCGUCCGUGGAGAAUCAGUCUCGUGGAUUUUCAGAAUGAGAUGUUUCCGUUGCGUAAUUUCAAGCUUGGCCAGCUCUGAGCAUCAUUCUGUCAGGUGAAUAUGAGCUGGAGGAAGGAACACAUGUGGACUCAUUAUAGGCUAAGGGAAGUGAAAAGGAUUUUCUCUUUCAGAGUUUAUCCAGCUGGAUUUAUAGUUGAUCCAAUAAUUGCUUUAAUAGCGGCGCACGAUUCAGAGCACAUCUGCAAACAUCUCUGUACCUUUAAUAGUUCCCUGGAACUCUGCACUUACAAGUCCCCCGGGGUAUAAUCACAAGGGCUCACGAGGUGGGCAGAUGGGGGACGCUGGGGACUUUCGUGAUCACGAGUGAGCCAGCAAAGUGUUGGCAUCGCGGUGAAUGCUCUGUUGGUGGAAUAUUUGGUUUAAAUGACAUUAAACACCAGGUCGAAGGGUGUGUUUUGCAGGGAGUGCGUUUUCAACGGUCCAGCCCGUUAAUGUCCUUGGCCGCUAUCUCCAGGGUGAACUAUCCUCUGACCAGCAUUUCUGAUGUCUUCUCUGGAUUACUAUUCCUACAGUGUUAGUGGGUACUUGUUAUGGAUGCGCUGGGUUGUGACCCUGCCCACCUCCAGAUUCACAGGUUGAAGUUCUAACUCCAAGGACCUUGGUUGGAGGUAGGACCUUUAAAGAGGUGAUGAAAGUAAAAUCAGGUCAUUACGGUGGACCCUGAUCCCACCUGACCACGGCCUUAUAAGAAGAGGGGAUGAACACACAGACACGCACAGAGGGACGACCACGUGAGGACGCAGGGCGAACGUGGCAUCUGCACGCUGAGGAGAGAGGCCUCAGGAGGAACCAGCCUCAGCCCCACCUGGAUCUCACACUCCCAGCCUCCAGGACCAAAUUGUGGGAAAUUUUUUAUCUUUAUUUAUUUUUGAGAGAGAGCCAGAGACAGAGCGUGAGCAGGGGAGGAGCAGAGAGAGAGGCAGACACAGAAUCUGCAACAGGCUCCAGGCUGUGAGCUGUCAGCACAGAGCCCAACACGGGGCUUGAACUCACCAACCGUGAGAUCAUGACCUGAGCCGAAGUAGGAUGCUUAACCGACUGAGCCACCCAGGCGCCCCUUCAUGUUAACAUUUUGAACAGCACUGUGUACUGUGAAUCCACAAGAAAUAAUUAUCAUAUGCAAUGUUUUCCCAACUUCUCUGGCCAUAGAUCCUUUUAACUCAGAUAAUUCUGAGAAACCUUCAUUCUGAUAAAUAUCCUUUUGGAAACAUUGCCCUGCACCAAGGUCCUCUAAUUAAUACAAAUAUCCAUUUAUCCCCAAAUACCCUCUGUUUGCAUAGCACAUUUUUCUAGCAUCCCAUUUAGUUUUGCUGUGUGGAAUUAACAACCAGGAAGAGUGCUCUGAAAAGAGGUCCUGUCCUGAUUCUCUUCCUAGAUACAUCUUCCAACAUAAAUGAAAGAAACAAGUGCCUGUAAGCAUACAAUAAUAGCAAAAGCAGCACCCCAUAUUGGUAUAGUAGUGGGAAGUUUACCAUGCUUUAAUAAAUAUUCCUCGAUCCCCAAAAUUCUGUGGAAGAAGGCAGAACUUACUUACCUUCUUUCUUCUUUUUCUUUCUUCUCUCUUUCUUUCCUUCUUUCCUUUUCUUUCUCUUUCUUUCUCUCUCUCUCUCCUUCCCUUCCCUUCCCUCUUCCUCCCUUCCUCCCUUCCCUUUUCUUUCUUUCAACAGAGAAAAAGACACAGAAAACAUGCAACAAUUUUACACAGCUUCGUUUGGUAUUUAAGGCCAUGACUUUGGAACCCAUUCCAGCGACCUAGAAUACUCUGCCUAGGAAAAUCCAUGAACCCAUCUGAAUCUCAAUUUCUUCAUCUGUUCGGUUGUGGACUCUUCAGGACCUGCUCAGUAACACAAACAGUGUUCCCGCAGCCAGUUUGCAGCUACACAUACUGAGGCUGUCUCUACAGAAGUUCCCGAAAGGAGUCCAGACAGACGAGCGCUAACCUGCCUCAAUGGACAAAGAAAGAAGAGACCCCAGGACGGCAUCCAUUUCUGGGACGUGGUCAGUCCUCCGGAUGACAACUCAGCAUGGACGAUACGUCUAUGGAAGCCCUGAUGGAUUCUGAGCAGAGGACUCCACUGUGCCUGAACUCCUCACCCACAGAAACUGUGAGACCACACGUGUGUGUUAGUUUAAGUCUGAGGUAAGGUACCGUCUCUGUCAGGGCAGGGAGUGCCAUUUGCUUGCUGCUACCUUCUUAGUUUGGUGGGUGGCCCUGCACACGAGGGAUACCAGUAAUGAUAGCUGAAAGGGCAUGACUGGUUGCAUGAUGAAGAGUAACUGUGAUGAGGGAAGAAGGGAGAAGUUGUGGCCUGGAAAGUAAUAGCUUUGCAUUCUGGAAAGGACUUGGUGUUGUUGCUGAAUGUUUUCUGAAGCUGUGGCAAUCUCUAAAGACAAACACAGUUCUAGCAUGAACUGAUUCAUGUUCGCCGAACAGGUUGGCACUCUGGACCUCAAAUACGAGGGUCAGAACCCCAUUUAUGCCACUUAUGAACCUUGAAGCUCUCAUCCCGUUGUAGCUUCCUUGGUCUCCAUCUCCUUAUUUGGAUGAUGCAGAUAAUACUACCUCACAGGAACAGGAUUAAGCCAACUAUGCAAUGGAAAGACAUCCCCGAAAGCCCCUCAGGCCAUGUGGUUUGACUUCCUUCUUUUCUUCCGCAGCCAAUCCUCAACUAUGGUUCUCCUGAAAACAAAAUGAGUCUAGUACCUUCUAUUCCAUGCAUGUUAUGGAUUUUAUUCUUAUUAUUUUUAUUACUCAUGGAGAAAGGCAACAAACCAGAAGCUCCCUGAGCUGAGGGAGGUUCCAGAAGAUGAAGAUCUCUCUGUCUCCUUCUCUAUCCCUAGUGGCCUUCCAAAUUAUAAGGCACAGCAUUUUGCACAUAGGUUACACUCAUUCAUGUAAUCAUCCAUCCAAUAAAUAUACACUGAAAACAUCAUUUAUGCCAAGCAUAUAAAAUAGAAAAAUAACUAUAAUUCUUCAAAGAGAUCUGUAUGGUUCCAAGAGUUAAUGUUUUGCUUUGAUUUUCUGUAGCUGUAUCAGCAACAGAAUUCUGCAGCAUAAGAGAUGAUGGUCAGACCAGAGUGAGCCAGGAUGUUACCUUAAUUGAAGCAUCAUUCACACUUAUAAGAUGAACACUGUUUUAAUAGGUAAGACCCUAUCUUCCUACACCUAUAGGAAGAUCUGAAAGCAGAUGGUUUGCAUAUUUCCCAGUGAGAGACGGAGAUAGAGAAUCCCAAGCAGGCUCCGCACUGUCAGCACAGAGCCUGAUGUAGGGCUCAAACUCAUGAACCAUGAGAUCAUGACCUGAGCCAAAAUCAAGAGUCAGAUGCUUAACCAACUGAGCCACCUAGGUACCCCUUAAAGAAUUAUAUGUAAAUUCAACUGAUACCAUGGUUUUAAUUCAACUAAUACCAUGGUUUGCUCAAGAAGGAAAAUGAGAAACAUUCAUUUUUUUUUCUAUAGAAGAAGGAAGGCAGAGUUCGGCCCACAAUGAAUUUACAUCAAAAAUAAAAAUUAAAUAUAAGUGGGAGUCUAAAAAGAACCCUUGGCAAGAUAUAUGUAGGGACCUAUAACUCUAAACCAUUAGAAAAGACAAAUGUCAAACACUUGAACGUAUCUUUAUUCCCAUCUAUUUUUCAUUCUUAUCAAACUAAAUAGAUUUCAUUGAGUUAUUUAAUUCCAAUGACAAUAACACUGAGCAAACACAGAAGUCAUAAAUCACCUCUCUACUAACUGAAAUCGUAUAUUCACCAGAGUAUUUUAUGUAGAGUGUAAAGGAAAUUCACAAUUUGUUCACAUUCUCCACGACUGAAAAAUAGAAAAGGUGAAUCUUCUUCUUUGCAGCUCUCAGUGCACCUCUGGGGUCUUCCAGCCAUUGUUUUACCAGCACAUUCUGAUUCCAUUAAUGACUUAAGUCCACAGUACAAGGUGCUUUUGAAUCCGUUUGAAUGGCAAUUUGAGAUUUCAUUGUUGUAAUAAGAUGCCUCUGUGUACUUUCCUUUCAUAAAAGUGGAAAGAAAGGGAGGCUUUUUGAAACAAAAUGAACAAUGGAGAGAGCAGGUGGACGUUAAUCUUGACUUCCAAGCUGUACCGAAUCCCCGAGUUCCAGAAUCAACACUGAAGGCUCUCAGAGAGUGGGCUUGAAGAAUGUGGCUUCUUGCAGAAUUCUCCAGAUCCUUAGUUGGAGGGCUUUCCUGCAGCAAUCUGAUGUAUUCUGUGAACCUAGCUCCCAUCUACCACACCCCCAAAACUAUGAGCUCACUGCCUCUCUCUCUCUGUUUUUUUUUGUUUUUUUUUUUUUACUUUCUUGGAGAAUCUGGGCUGUAGAAAAACCAGUAAAAACAUUUACAUCUCACUGUUGGAGCACUCGAUGUUGAAACACUCAUUUUACAACUCAACCCACUGCUUAAAUUGCACUGUGAAGAUUGCAGAGAUUAAAUUAUAACUCCCAGGAGCAUCCACAGUCUAGAACUUAAUGAAGGAGAAGGGUCCAUUGAGAUAUAUAUCUUUUAUAUUGCUUCUAGCCGAAACAGCUCAUGGCCGAUCCAUCUAGAAGUUCUUAAAAAAAAAAAAAAAAAAAAAAAAAGCAAGAGUAUAAUGGCAGAGGGAGUUACAUAAUUCUGCAGGUUAUUUUUAGAAUCAUUUCCAUGCUAUGAAAAAUACCGGAGGAGAGACUUCCAUUAAUAAUGUGUGUCUAGCUACCUAGGAACACACUGAACGUUCUGAGCGGUGGGGUGUGCUUCUAUGGACCUCCCAGAAAAGCCUUGCAGAAGACUGUCCUUUCUGCAGCAUCUCAUGUCGGACAGUGCAUGGCAAAAGUCAUAUGGUUUUCAUCCCCUCCUUUUAGGCGUGGGAGUCAUCGCAAAAAGGAGGGGGCUGAUUCAGGCUGCCAAUAGUUGCCCAAAGCCUUUCUCCUCACCAAUUCUGCACUGACAGCGUCUCUCUUUUCCUGCAUCCACACCAAACCGAUACUGCUCUGCACCUGUCUUUCAUUCAGUCUUCCCAAGAUAAGGUAGAGAAUCUAUAAAUAUCACCACAGUUUCACAUUUCACUUUGUCCUUAGGGUAUCUUUCCCCCCACAAAGCCUGCUUUCUUUUGAGAAGAGCCUGAUUUCUCCCGGAGCCAGGAGGCGUGAGCUAAUCAACAGAGUUGUGCCACGGUCACCGUGCCUUUUAGGGCGUUGCGGGAAACACACAACCACAACUGCCACGCGCAGUGUUUGCUAGCGGUUGCAGGGACGUGAACUGCACCGCCACGGAUGGAGAUGUGCACAGGGUCUCCCAGUGCAGGUAAUAAGCAGGAACGGAAAGGACACUGGGAAACUCCGCAGUAUCUUUAUGGUGAAUGCUUCCCUCCCCUGAUUCCAGAGACCAAAGCAACAUAGCUCAGUAGGGCUGAGACUAGGGACGUCAGACAAACUUUCUUCUUUCUCUGGGUAUGCAAACUUUGGGGCUCACAGGGGUGGAGAGGAAGCAGCUCAGCCCCUGCCGAUGUCUGCAUCAAGGGGCCCAGCCGAUGCGGAGUGACUUUAAGACUGCCUUGCUCACUCCCACGUCUGGGUAUAUAUCCAAAGGAAAUGCAGUAAGGAUCCCAAAGAGACACCUGCACUCCCGAGUUCAUUGCAGCAUUAGUCACAAUAGCCAACAGUUGGGAACACCCCGAAAGUC